GUGCCUAAUACAUGCAAGUCGAACGCGUUGGCCCAAUUGAUUGAUGGUGCUUGCACCUGAUUGAUUUUGGUCGCCAACGAGUGGCGGACGGGUGAGUAACACGUAGGUAACCUGCCCAGAAGCGGGGGACAACAUUUGGAAACAGAUGCUAAUACCGCAUAACGACGUUGUUCGCAUGAACAACGCUUAAAAGAUGGCUUCUCGCUAUCACUUCUGGAUGGACCUGCGGUGCAUUAGCUUGUUGGUGGGGUAAUGGCCUACCAAGGCGAUGAUGCAUAGCCGAGUUGAGAGACUGAUCGGCCACAAUGGGACUGAGACACGGCCCAUACUCCUACGGGAGGCAGCAGUAGGGAAUCUUCCACAAUGGGCGCAAGCCUGAUGGAGCAACACCGCGUGAGUGAAGAAGGGUUUCGGCUCGUAAAGCUCUGUUGUUAAAGAAGAACACGUAUGAGAGUAACUGUUCAUACGUUGACGGUAUUUAACCAGAAAGUCACGGCUAACUACGUGCCAGCAGCCGCGGUAAUACGUAAGCGGCAAGCGUUAUCCGGAUUUAUUGGGCGUAAAGAGAGUGCAGGCGGUUUUCUAAGUCUGAUGUGAAAGCCUUCGGCUUAACCGGAGAAGUGCAUCGGAAACUGGAUAACUUGAGUGCAGAAGAGGGUAGUGGAACUCCAUGUGUAGCGGUGGAAUGCGUAGAUAUAUGGAAGAACACCAGUGGCGAAGGCGGCUACCUGGUCUGCAACUGACGCUGAGACUCGAAAGCAUGGGUAGCGAACAGGAUUAGAUACCCUGGUAGUCCAUGCCGUAAACGAUGAGUGCUAGGUGUUGGAGGGUUUCCGCCCUUCAGUGCCGGAGCUAACGCAUUAAGCACUCCGCCUGGGGAGUACGACCGCAAGGUUGAAACUCAAAGGAAUUGACGGGGGCCCGCACAAGCGGUGGAGCAUGUGGUUUAAUCUGAAGCUACGCGAAGAACCUUACCAGGUCUUGACAUCUUGCGCCAACCCUAGAGAUAGGGCGUUUCCUUCGGGAACGCAAUGACAGGUGGUGCAUGGUCGUCGUCAGCUCGUGUCGUGAGAUGUUGGGUUAAGUCCCGCAACGAGCGCAACCCUUGUUACUAGUUGCCAGCAUUAAGUUGGGCACUCUAGUGAGACUGCCGGUGACAAACCGGAGGAAGGUGGGGACGACGUCAGAUCAUCAUGCCCCUUAUGACCUGGGCUACACACGUGCUACAAUGGACGGUACAACGAGUCGCGAACUCGCGAGGGCAAGCAAAUCUCUUAAAACCGUUCUCAGUUCGGACUGCAGGCUGCAACUCGCCUGCACGAAGUCGGAAUCGCUAGUAAUCGCGGAUCAGCAUGCCGCGGUGAAUACGUUCCCGGGCCUUGUACACACCGCCCGUCACACCAUGAGAGUUUGUAACACCCAAAGUCGGUGGGGUAACCUUUUAGGAGCCAGCCGCCUAAGGUGGGACAGAUGAUUAGGGUGAAGUC
rnacentral:rRNA from 1 species